rnacentral:misc_RNA from 1 species
UUUCCGUAGGUGAACCUGCGGAAGGAUCAUUAAUGAUUGCGAAUGCUUACCUUCAGUGCUGGCUCGCCAGAGCAAGUGCACGUUGGUGGCUUUCAUCCAAUUCCACACCCUGUGAACCUUUGGCCUCUUGCUAGCCUCGGCCGGCAGAGGAUUUUACACAUAACUCGCAUGUAAUGAAAUUUAUUGUUGUGCGCAAGCACUAUAUAUACAACUUUCAACAACGGAUCUCUUGGCUCUC